UUAAGUCCCCUGUUAGCAUCCUUCGGGGUGUGUGGGGUGAGGCUGAACGCCUGACCUGAACUGGUAGUAGGUAAGCGAUGGGGUGACGCAGGAAGGUAGCCCAGCCCAGGCGAUGGUAGUCCUGGGGUAAGCAUGUAGGGAAAGAGGUAGGCAAAUCCGCCUCUUAUUAAUCCUGAGAUGUGAUGCCGAGCCGAUUGUGGCGAAGUGGGUGAUCCUAUGCUGCCGAGAAAAGCCUCUAGUGAGUGUCGUGGCGGCCCGUACCCCAAACCGACUCAGGUGGUCAGGUAGAGAAUACCAAGGCGAUCGGGUGAACUGUGGUUAAGGAACUCGGCAAAUUGCCCCCGUAACUUCGGGAGAAGGGGGGCCUCCGCUGGUGAUCAGACUUGCUUUGUGAGCUGGUGGGGGUCGCAGAGGCCAGGGGGAAGCGACUGUUUACUAAAAACACAGGUCCGUGCGAAGUCGUAAGACGAUGUAUACGGACUGACGCCUGCCCGGUGCUGGAACGUUAAGGGGACCGGUUAGCGCACUUCGGUGUGCGAGGCUGAGAACUUAAGCGCCAGUAAACGGCGGUGGUAACUAUAACCAUCCUAAGGUAGCGAAAUUCCUUGUCGGGUAAGUUCCGACCUGCACGAAUGGCGUAACGACUUCCCCGCUGUCUCAACCGCAGACCCGGCGAAAUUGCACUACGAGUAAAGAUGCUCGUUACGCGCAGCAGGACGGAAAGACCCCGGGACCUUCACUACAGCUUGACAUUGGCGUUUGGAACGUCUUGUGUAGGAUAGGUGGGAGACUGUGAAGCUGUCACGCUAGUGGCGGUGGAGUCAUUGGUGAAAUACCACUCUGGUCGUUUUGAACGUCUAACUUCGGUCCGUGAUCCGGAUCAGGGACAGUGUCUGGUGGGUAGUUUAACUGGGGCGGUUGCCUCCUAAAGAGUAACGGAGGCGCCCAAAGGUUCCCUCAGCCUGGUUGGUAAUCAGGUGUCGAGUGUAAGUGCACAAGGGAGCUUGACUGUGAGACCGACGGGUCGAGCAGGAGCGAAAGCUGGGACUAGUGAUCCGGCGGUGGCAUGUGGAAGCGCCGUCGCUCAACGGCUAAAAGGUACCCCGGGGAUAACAGGCUGAUCUUCCCCAAGAGUCCAUAUCGACGGGAUGGUUUGGCACCUCGAUGUCGGCUCGUCGCAUCCUGGGGCUGGAGUAGGUCCCAAGGGUUGGGCUGUUCGCCCAUUAAAGCGGUACGCGAGCUGGGUUUAGAACGUCGCGAGACAGUUCGGUCCCUAUCCGCUGCGCGCGCAGGAGACUUGAAAGGAGCUGUCCCUAGUACGAGAGGACCGGGACGGACGAACCUCUGGUGUGCCAGUUGUUCCGCCAGGAGCAUGGCUGGUUGGCUACGUUCGGAAGGGAUAACCGCUGAAAGCAUCUAAGCGGGAAGCUCGCCUUGAGAUGAGGUCUCCCACCACGUGAGUGGGUAAGGCCCCCGGGAGACGACCGGGUUGAUAGGCCGGAGGUGGAAGCAUGGUAACGUGUGGAGCUGACCGGUACUAAUAGGCCGAGGACUUGACCAC
rnacentral:rRNA from 1 species